UAGCCAUGGUAGGGAGCAAAGAGUAAUUCAGGUAACAAGUUCACUGAGUUCAACUUUGGAGGAGAUUUGUGGUCAGAAUCAAACAUACCUGAUUUCAGCAUUCUUCUGAACCCAGUGGAAGCUCAUCUACCAGCCUCUCAGGAAAAGCAGCUGCUUCAGGAUGAAGAUGAAGAUCUUCCCAGUCACUAACUGCCAGAGACUCACUGAAAUGGGUGAUGAACAAAAACUUCCCACCUUUGUCAGGAAGCUCAUGGCCAGAGAAGUUGCUGCUGAUGCUCUGAGCGAAGGAUGGAAGGGUUAUGUGGUGAGAAUGACAAACAAGGUUUCCCUAUGACCCAGUGUGUCUGGACCCUUGGCCAUGUUCAUCUGCUACUGAGCAGGGGGCUUUCCUGUGAUAGACCGAGGAGAAUUGGAGGAGAAAGGUGCAAGUCUGUUCUAUCCAGCGUUACAUUCUUGCAGGAAACUGCAAAGAAAGGAAAGAGAAGACGGCUGAACAAAACCAGUAAAAACCAGUUGAAGGCAACAUGAAAGUCUGACUGGACCUGACAUAGACCCUACAACACAUCAUAUGUUCAUUGUAAUACAUUGCAUAUUAUGGAACCUACCCACCGAUGCCAUGACAGUUUACAACUGCCAUGGCAAUGGCGGGAUACAACCAUAUAAGGAAAGAAAAGAGGUGGCAUCCUUGUUCCCCUGAAAAGCCUGCCUAGUUCCCCUAAUACCUGUGAAUAUUCCUCCCCUUCAUUACUUUGACCUCUUAUAACAGCUCAAUCGCCUCAAGAGCUGAGAAGUUGAUUGGUGAACUUUGCUCCCACUUCUCCAUUCUUUGUCCAUUGAAUAAAGCUUGUGCUAUU
rnacentral:lncRNA from 1 species